UGACAGGCAACAUCAUUCAGGCUCCUUAGUUCCACCUGCUCACUGGAGCAGCAUGUCAAAAGAUCAAAAGAUGUAGCAGAACACACUGAGUAGAAUGCUUUAAAGCAAUAGCUAAGGCUCUCCACAAGGGGGUGUUGUUAGAGAACGCAUAGGCUGCCUGUGAUCCAGGAGUUCCCCUGCGGGCCAUAAUGAAGCCAUUGGGUCUCUUGCUGGAACCUCAUAA